UGCGCAGGCGGUUUGUUAAGACAGAUGUGAAAUCCCCGGGCUUAACCUGGGAACUGCGUUUGUAACUGGCAAGCUAGAGUGUGGCAGAGGGGGGUGGAAUUCCAAGUGUAGCAGUGAAAUGCGUAGAUAUUUGGAGGAACACCAAUGGCGAAGGCAGCCCCCUGGGUUAACACUGACGCUCAUGCACGAAAGCGUGGGGAGCAAACA
rnacentral:rRNA from 1 species